rnacentral:lncRNA from 1 species
CAGCAAGUGAAAUAUUCAGCUGCAUUGGAAAGCCAGUGGUGCCAGAAAGCAGUUCAGACGCUGAUGCAAUUUUUCAAUCAAAAAUGAUGAUUUCUGUUGGUGCACUUCCAUAUUAAAGAUGUACUCUGGAGUGACUUGGGAGCACCAUCACUAGCACUUCAUGGUUUGUGUGUAUCCGAGUAUACCUUACUAAAAACAAACUUCUGCUUUUACUUCAUACCUAGGUUCAACGUACAAUAUCUUGUCCAUUAGGGCCCUGAUAUGGGAACAUGAGACACUGCAGAAUUUCAUGUUGGUCAUCGCGAGAGACAGUGAAGAAUUUCGUUUAAGUAAAUGAUUUACCCCUCGACUAAAUUACAUUCAGGACCUACAGCUAAAGUUAAAGACACUUGUAUUAAAAAUGGUAAACAUAUUUAAAUAUUCUGCGAGCUCUACUAAUUAUUCUUGUUGCGCUAUAUGCAGUGGUGUAAAAAUGAUAGAGAGAAGUUAAAACAGUGGUUACGUUGUAGAACAUCGAUCACUAAUUCGGCCAACCAUAAUUUGAACAUACUAACAGAGUGACAAACAAGGCACACAACAAACACAAAAGCAAACUGUUUGUAACAUGGCAAUGCAAUCAAUAAUGGCCAGACUUUGCUUAGCUGAGCUCUACUCGUUGCUUGCUUCACCAAGUGUAAUCUCUAUUUGCAAUGCAGCGUGUGGCGAAGUGUUACAGAAGUGCUGCGCCGCAGAAAGCUUCGGGAAGCCUACGACCGGAGGCUUAACGUGCUUAAGUCAACUGAGCCGAACUACCAGCCCACGCUGUUCAAGAAAGAAGGGGACACCUUCAGCUACAAAAAUGACUUGAGAAGAAAGUCUGAGAAGAAACUCCAGUAGUGCCUCGAAUGUUCCUCCGCAUGGACAGCACCGCAAGAAUGCUGUAUACCUACCCACCAUCAGCGAAUUGUUGCAUCAGUUUCUUAUAAGCUGUAAUAUCCUU